rnacentral:rRNA from 1 species
UACGGGGGGUGCGAGCGUUGUCCGGAAUCACUGGGCGUAAAGGGCGCGUAGGCGGCUCAUGAAGGCUGUGGUGAAAGUCCGGGGCUCAACCUCGGAUCGGCCGUGGCGACUCGUGGGCUGGAGCACUGUAGAGGCGGGUGGAAUUCCGGGUGUAGCGGUGGAAUGCGUAGAGAUCCGGAAGAACACCAGUGGCGAAGGCGGCCCGCUGGGCAGUGGCUGACGCUGAGGAGCGACAGCGUGGGGAGCAAACAGG